CAACUACUUUGGUCAGGGGUAAGCAUUGGCGUACUUGAAUGGACGAAAUAGUACUUCUUAAAGAACAUUUAACAGAAGGGUAAAUUGGCCGUAACAACGCACCACCCUAACAAAGGAACAUCGUCCUCAAAACAUCUCACACACAGAUGUCAUUUAUCGACGCAUAAUUCAGCGAAAUGGACUACAAAAUACUGUGGAGUUCACUACCCAAAGCGGUCAUGUUGUCAUCAUCCCACCGGAACACAAGUCCAGUUUUGGAAUGGAAUUCCAAUAAAAAUUGGAUAAAAUUGUAAAGAACUACCUAGUAAAACGGUUUUGCACGUCGAAAAUAA